UAUAUCACGUUUCUACACCGGUUUUCAUAAGAUCACUGAAGUUAAGCAACGUCGAGCCUGGUCAGUACCUAGAUGGGUAAUCGCUUGGGAAUACCAGGUGCUGUAAG